UACGUAGGCAGCGAGCGUUUGUUCGGAGUUACUGGGCGUAAAGAGUGCGUAGGCGGUUUUCUAAGUUUGGUGUGAAAUCUCCCGGCUUAACUGGGAGGGUGCGCCGAAAACUGGAAGGCUUGAGUAUGGGAGAGGUAAGCGGAAUUCCUGGUGUAGCGGUGAAAUGCGUAGAUAUCAGGAGGAACACCUGCGGUGUAGACGGCUUACUGGACCAUAACUGACGCUGAGGCACGAAAGCGUGGGUAGCAAACAGG
rnacentral:rRNA from 1 species